GCUAACACAUGCAAGCCGAGCGGUAGAUUGCUUUCGGGCGAUUGAGAGCGGCGUACGGGUGCGGAACACGUGUGCAACCUGCCUUUAUCAGGGGGAUAGCCUUUCGAAAGGAAGAUUAAUACCCCAUAAUAUAUCGAGUGGCAUCAUUUGAUAUUGAAAACUCCGGUGGAUAGAGAUGGGCACGCGCAAGAUUAGAUAGUUGGUGAGGUAACGGCUCACCAAGUCUACGAUCUUUAGGGGGCCUGAGAGGGUGAUCCCCCACACUGGUACUGAGACACGGACCAGACUCCUACGGGAGGCAGCAGUGAGGAAUAUUGGACAAUGGGUGAGAGCCUGAUCCAGCCAUCCCGCGUGAAGGACGACGGCCCUAUGGGUUGUAAACUUCUUUUGUAUAGGGAUAAACCUACCCUCGUGAGGGUAGCUGAAGGUACUAUACGAAUAAGCACCGGCUAACUCCGUGCCAGCAGCCGCGGUAAUACGGAGGGUGCAAGCGUUAUCCGGAUUUAUUGGGUUUAAAGGGUCCGUAGGCUGAUCUGUAAGUCAGUGGUGAAAUCUCACAGCUUAACUGUGAAACUGCCAUUGAUACUGCAGUUCUUGAGUGUUGUUGAAGUAGCUGGAAUAAGUAGUGUAGCGGUGAAAUGCAUAGAUAUUACUUAGAACACCAAUUGCGAAGGCAGGUUACUAAGCAACAACUGACGCUGAUGGACGAAAGCGUGGGGAGCGAACAGGAUUAGAUACCCUGGUAGUCCACGCCGUAAACGAUGCUAACUCGUUUUUGGGGCGCAAGCUUCAGAGACUAAGCGAAAGUGAUAAGUUAGCCACCUGGGGAGUACGAACGCAAGUUUGAAACUCAAAGGAAUUGACGGGGGCCCGCACAAGCGGUGGAUUAUGUGGUUUAAUUCGAUGAUACGCGAGGAACCUUACCAAGGCUUAAAUGGGAAAUGACAGGUUUAGAAAUAGACUUUUCUUCGGACAUUUUUCAAGGUGCUGCAUGGUUGUCGUCAGCUCGUGCCGUGAGGUGUUAGGUUAAGUCCUGCAACGAGCGCAACCCCUGUCACUAGUUGCCAUCAUUAAGUUGGGGACUCUAGUGAGACUGCCUACGCAAGUAGAGAGAAAGGGGGGGAUGACGUCAAAUCAUCACGGCCCUUACGCCUUGGGCCACACACGUAAUACAAUGGCCGGUACAGAGGGCAGCUACACUGCGAAGUGAUGCAAAUCUCGAAAGCCGGUCUCAGUUCGGAUUGGAGUCUGCAACUCGACUCUAUGAAGCUGGAAUCGCUAGUAAUCGCGCAUCAGCCAUGGCGCGGUGAAUACGUUCCCGGGC
rnacentral:rRNA from 1 species